UUCCGGUUGAUCCCGCCGGACCCGACUGCUAUCAGAGUGGGACUAAGCCAUGCGAGUCAACAUAGCAAUAUGUGGCAUACGGCUCAGUAACACGUAGUCAACAUGCCCAGGGGACGUGGAUAACCUCGGGAAACUGAGGAUAAACCACGAUAGGUCAUCACUUCUGGAAUGGGUAAUGACUUAAAUCUAUAUGGCCCCUGGAUUGGACUGCGGCCGAUCAGGCUGUUGGUGAGGUAAUGGCCCACCAAACCUGUAACCGGUACGGGCUCUGAGAGGAGGAGCCCGGAGAUGGGCACUGAGACAAGGGCCCAGGCCCUAUGGGGCGCAGCAGGCGCGAAACCUCUGCAAUAGGCGAAAGCUUGACAGGGUUACUCUGAGUGAUUUCCGUUAAGGAGAUCUUUUGGCAUCUCUAAAAAUGGUGCAGAAUAAGGGGUGGGCAAGUCUGGUGUCAGCCGCCGCGGUAAUACCAGCACCCCGAGUGGUCGGGACGUUUAUUGGGCCUAAAGCAUCCGUAGCCGGUUCUACAAGUCUUCCGUUAAAUCCACCUGCUUAACAGAUGGGCUGCGGAAGAUACUAUAGAGCUAGGAGGCGGGAGAGGCAAGCGGUACUCGAUGGGUAGGGGUAAAAUCCGUUGAUCCAUUGAAGACCACCAGUGGCGAAGGCGGCUUGCCAGAACGCGCUCGACGGUGAGGGAUGAAAGCUGGGGGAGCAAAUCGGAUUAGAUACCCGGGUAGUCCCAGCUGUAAACGAUGCAGACUCGGUGAUGAGUUGGCUUAUUGCUAACUCAGUGCCGCAGGGAAGCCGUUAAGUUUGCCGCCUGGGGAGUACGGUCGCAAGACUGAAACUUAAAGGAAUUGGCGGGGGAGCACCACAAGGGGUGAAGCCUGCGGUUCAAUUGGAGUCAACGCCGGG
rnacentral:rRNA from 1 species